GGGAAUGUGGCUUAGUGGUAGAGCGCUUGCCUAGCAUGCAGGAGGCCCUGGGUUCAAUUCCUCAGUACCA
rnacentral:tRNA from 1 species